AUUACAGUUGCUCUAUCCUCCCCUUUAUGUAUGUACUUGAAUAAGUACUUGAUAGAUCUCGACUUAUUGCACCACUCUACAUUUAUGUGUGCCUGGUACUUGACUAUGAGGUCCCUAUUGUAUGGAACAACAUAGCUGCUAUCUAGUUCUACUCCAUUUUUUUGUACUGUCUUUCCAUCAUCCCUUCUUCUGUAUACAGGAAAUCCUUCUUCAUCGAUACUUGUUUCCUCACAGAACUUCUUUGGAAAAUGUUUUGAGCACUUUCCAUUGAUCAUGCAAGGCCGCUAUAUAGCUCCGUCCUAAGUGUGCCUUGAUGCGUCUUGUACCAAUUCAGCCUCCACUGCUCAAUGCAUGCUGCUGCGUCUACUAUGAAUUGAAGGAACAACUUGCCACUCAUUUGCAGGACCACCGAUUGAUUUAGUCGCUGCUGGAUACGAUAUGCAUAAUACUCCAUCAUGGUUAAUAUAUUGAAGGAUGCGUGGAACAUCUUUUGAAGAAAAUGAUGGAAUUAUCUUCGUAAAGUUGUACCUUUGUUUUGUCAGAGGCACAUGAUUCUUCGACAUGGAGGCCGAGGCUAUUGCUGCUGAGUUUAGAAGUUUUGAUCGAUCCCUUUGCAACAACGUAGAACUUUUUUGUCUUCUCCGGACCUAAUGUAUAGUGCUGUAAAAUCAUGGACGCUCAUAAUUAUAGAAACACCAACGUGAGAUAAACAUGAAUUACAAUUACAAUAACCUUGA